CGUCAGCUCGUGUCGUGAGAUGUUCGGUUAAGUCCGGCAACGAGGCGCAACCCACAUUUUUAAGUUGCCAUCAUUCAGUUGGGCACUCUAGAGAAACUGCCGGUGAUAAGCCGGAGGAAGGUGUGGAUGACGUCAAGUCCUCAUGGCCCUUACGGGUUGGGCUACACACGUGCUACAAUCGGUGGUGACAAUCGGGUUAAUCCCAAAAAGCCAUCUCAGUUCGGAUUGGGGUCUGCAACUCGACCCCAUGAAGUCGGAAUCGCUAGUAAUCGCGUAACAGCAUGACGCGGUGAAUACGUUCCCGGGCCUUGUACACACCGCCCGUCACACCAUGGGAAUUGGA
rnacentral:rRNA from 1 species